UACGUAGGGUGCAAGCGUUGUCCGGAAUUAUUGGGCGUAAAGAGCUCGUAGGCGGUUUGUCGCGUCUGCUGUGAAAACGCGAGGCUCAACCUCGCGCCUGCAGUGGGUACGGGCAGACUGGAGUACGGUAGGGGAGAUUGGAAUUCCUGGUGUAGCGGUGGAAUGCGCAGAUAUCAGGAGGAACACCGAUGGCGAAGGCAGAUCUCUGGGCCGUAACUGACGCUGAGGAGCGAAAGCGUGGGGAGCGAACAGG
rnacentral:rRNA from 1 species